rnacentral:rRNA from 1 species
UUAAGCGACUAAGCGUACACGGUGGAUGCCCUGGCAGUCAGAGGCGAUGAAGGACGUGCUAAUCUGCGAUAAGCGUCGGUAAGGUGAUAUGAACCGUUAUAACCGGCGAUUUCCGAAUGGGGAAACCCAGUGUGAUUCGUCACACUAUCAUUAACUGAAUCCAUAGGUUAAUGAGGCGAACCGGGGGAACUGAAACAUCUAAGUACCCCGAGGAAAAGAAAUCAACCGAGAUUCCCCCAGUAGCGGCGAGCGAACGGGGAGCAGCCCAGAGCCUGAAUCAGUGUGUGUGUUAGUGGAAGCGUCUGGAAAGGCGCGCGAUACAGGGUGACAGCCCCGUACACAAAAAUGCACAUGCUGUGAGCUCGAUGAGUAGGGCGGGACACGUGGUAUCCUGUCUGAAUAUGGGGGGACCAUCCUCCAAGGCUAAAUACUCCUGACUGACCGAUAGUGAACCAGUACCGUGAGGGAAAGGCGAAAAGAACCCCGGCGAGGGGAGUGAAAAAGAACCUGAAACCGUGUACGUACAAGCAGUGGGAGCACGCUUAGGCGUGUGACUGCGUACCUUUUGUAUAAUGGGUCAGCGACUUAUAUUCUGUAGCAAGGUUAACCGAAUAGGGGAGCCGAAGGGAAACCGAGUCUUAACUGGGCGUUAAGUUGCAGGGUAUAGACCCGAAACCCGGUGAUCUAGCCAUGGGCAGGUUGAAGGUUGGGUAACACUAACUGGAGGACCGAACCGACUAAUGUUGAAAAAUUAGCGGAUGACUUGUGGCUGGGGGUGAAAGGCCAAUCAAACCGGGAGAUAGCUGGUUCUCCCCGAAAGCUAUUUAGGUAGCGCCUCGUGAAUUCAUCUCCGGGGGUAGAGCACUGUUUCGGCAAGGGGGUCAUCCCGACUUACCAACCCGAUGCAAACUGCGAAUACCGGAGAAUGUUAUCACGGGAGACACACGGCGGGUGCUAACGUCCGUCGUGAAGAGGGAAACAACCCAGACCGCCAGCUAAGGUCCCAAAGUCAUGGUUAAGUGGGAAACGAUGUGGGAAGGCCCAGACAGCCAGGAUGUUGGCUUAGAAGCAGCCAUCAUUUAAAGAAAGCGUAAUAGCUCACUGGUCGAGUCGGCCUGCGCGGAAGAUGUAACGGGGCUAAACCAUGCACCGAAGCUGCGGCAGCGACGCUUAUGCGUUGUUGGGUAGGGGAGCGUUCUGUAAGCCUGUGAAGGUGUGCUGUGAGGCAUGCUGGAGGUAUCAGAAGUGCGAAUGCUGACAUAAGUAACGAUAAAGCGGGUGAAAAGCCCGCUCGCCGGAAGACCAAGGGUUCCUGUCCAACGUUAAUCGGGGCAGGGUGAGUCGACCCCUAAGGCGAGGCCGAAAGGCGUAGUCGAUGGGAAACAGGUUAAUAUUCCUGUACUUGGUGUUACUGCGAAGGGGGGACGGAGAAGGCUAUGUUGGCCGGGCGACGGUUGUCCCGGUUUAAGCGUGUAGGCUGGUUUUCCAGGCAAAUCCGGAAAAUCAAGGCUGAGGCGUGAUGACGAGGCACUACGGUGCUGAAGCAACAAAUGCCCUGCUUCCAGGAAAAGCCUCUAAGCAUCAGGUAACAUCAAAUCGUACCCCAAACCGACACAGGUGGUCAGGUAGAGAAUACCAAGGCGCUUGAGAGAACUCGGGUGAAGGAACUAGGCAAAAUGGUGCCGUAACUUCGGGAGAAGGCACGCUGAUAUGUAGGUGAAGUCCCUCGCGGAUGGAGCUGAAAUCAGUCGAAGAUACCAGCUGGCUGCAACUGUUUAUUAAAAACACAGCACUGUGCAAACACGAAAGUGGACGUAUACGGUGUGACGCCUGCCCGGUGCCGGAAGGUUAAUUGAUGGGGUCAGCGCAAGCGAAGCUCUUGAUCGAAGCCCCGGUAAACGGCGGCCGUAACUAUAACGGUCCUAAGGUAGCGAAAUUCCUUGUCGGGUAAGUUCCGACCUGCACGAAUGGCGUAAUGAUGGCCAGGCUGUCUCCACCCGAGACUCAGUGAAAUUGAACUCGCUGUGAAGAUGCAGUGUACCCGCGGCAAGACGGAAAGACCCCGUGAACCUUUACUAUAGCUUGACACUGAACAUUGAGCCUUGAUGUGUAGGAUAGGUGGGAGGCUUAGAAGUGUGGACGCCAGUCUGCAUGGAGCCGACCUUGAAAUACCACCCUUUAAUGUUUGAUGUUCUAACGUUGACCCGUAAUCCGGGUUGCGGACAGUGUCUGGUGGGUAGUUUGACUGGGGCGGUCUCCUCCUAAAGAGUAACGGAGGAGCACGAAGGUUGGCUAAUCCUGGUCGGACAUCAGGAGGUUAGUGCAAUGGCAUAAGCCAGCUUGACUGCGAGCGUGACGGCGCGAGCAGGUGCGAAAGCAGGUCAUAGUGAUCCGGUGGUUCUGAAUGGAAGGGCCAUCGCUCAACGGAUAAAAGGUACUCCGGGGAUAACAGGCUGAUACCGCCCAAGAGUUCAUAUCGACGGCGGUGUUUGGCACCUCGAUGUCGGCUCAUCACAUCCCGGGGCUGAAGUAGGUCCCAAGGGUAUGGCUGUUCGCCAUUUAAAGUGGUACGCGAGCUGGGUUUAGAACGUCGUGAGACAGUUCGGUCCCUAUCUGCCGUGGGCGCUGGAGAACUGAGGGGGGCUGCUCCUAGUACGAGA